rnacentral:rRNA from 1 species
UACAGAGGUCUCGAGCGUUGUUCGGAUUCAUUGGGCGUAAAGGGUGCGUAGGUGGUCAGGUAAGUCGGAUGUGAAAUCCCGGGGCUCAACCUCGGAACUGCAUUCGAUACUGCCUGACUGGAGUACUGGAGAGGAGAUUGGAAUUUACGGUGUAGCAGUGAAAUGCGUAGAUAUCAGGAGGAACACCGGUGGCGAAGGCGGGUCUCUGGGCAGUAACUGACGCUGAGGAGCGAAAGCGUGGGGAGCAAACAGG